GAUGAACGCUGGCGGCGUGCUUAACACAUGCAAGUCGAACGGAGAUUACUUUUUAGCUUGCUAAGUUGUAAUCUUAGUGGCGGACGGGUGAGUAACGCGUGGGCAACCUGCCUUAUACCGGGGGACAACAGUUGGAAACGACUGCUAAUACCGCAUAAGCGCACGAUGAGGCAUCUCAUAGUGUGAAAAACUCCGGUGGUAUAAGAUGGACCCGCGUCUGAUUAGCUAGUUGGCGGUGUAACGGACCACCAAGGCGACGAUCAGUAGCCGGCCUGAGAGGGUAAACGGCCACAUUGGGACUGAGACACGGCCCAAACUCCUACGGGAGGCAGCAGUGGGGAAUAUUGCACAAUGGAGGAAACUCUGAUGCAGCGACGCCGCGUGAGUGAAGAAGUAUUUCGGUAUGUAAAGCUCUAUCAGCAGGAAAGAAAAUGACGUAC
rnacentral:rRNA from 1 species